AUGCCGCCGCCGCCGCCGCCGGCGCUGCCGGACGAGCUCCUCGAGGAGGUCUUCUUCCGCCUCCCGCCGGACGAGCCCGAGCACCUCGCGCGCGCCUCCCUCGUCAGCAAGGUCUGGCUCUCCCUCCUCUCCGACUCUCGCUUCCGUGCUCGCUACCGCGACUUCCAUGGAGCUCCCCCAGUGCUGGGCUUCCUUUGUUCCUGGCGCCCCAACUCCGUCCAUGAGGUGGAGGAUAACAUCCCGCACUUCUUCCCCACCACCAAAUUCCCUGGGCGCAUUCCCGACGACGACUGGGGGUACUUCCGCUACGCUGCGUGGGACUGCCGCCAUGGCCGCGUUCUCCUCGGGGAUAUGGAUUACGAACCCGUUGCGCUCGUCGUUUGGGACCCCAUGACUGGCUGCCGGAGGGAGCUGGACCCACCUGACCAGUUGGGCACCAGCUAUGGGGCAGCGGUGCUCUGCGCCGUCGCCGGCUGUGACCACCGUGCGUGCCACGCAGGCCCCUUCAAUUCUCAAGUAUGA
rnacentral:rRNA from 1 species